UACGUAGGGUGCAAGCGUUAAUCGGAAUUACUGGGCGUAAAGCGCACGUAGGCGGUUGGUUAAGUUGGAUGUGAAAGCCCCGGGCUCAACCUGGGAAUUGCAUUUGAAACUGGGAAACUAGAGUGUGUGAGAGGGGGGUAGAAUUCCAAGUGUAGCGGUGAAAUGCGUAGAGAUUUGGAGGAAUACCAGUGGCGAAGGCGGCCCCCUGGCACAACACUGACGCUCAGGUGCGAAAGCGUGGGGAGCAAACAGG
rnacentral:rRNA from 1 species